rnacentral:rRNA from 1 species
UACAGAGGUCCCAAGCGUUGUUCGGAUUCACUGGGCGUAAAGAGCGUGUAGGCGGCCAGGUAGGUCCGUUGUGAAAACUAGAGGCUCAACCUCUAGACGUCGAUGGAAACCAUCUGGCUAGAGUCCGGAAGAGGAGAGUGGAAUUCCUGGUGUAGCGGUGAAAUGCGCAGAUAUCAGGAAGAACACCCGUGGCGAAGGCGGCUCUCUGGGACGGUACUGACGCUGAGACGCGAAAGCGUGGGGAGCGAACAGG